UUAUUGAGAUUAUUGAAGAUAUACGUAAAAACCAUAAUAAUUCUUUAUCGGGUUUAUCCGUGGCUGAGAUUCUGAAAUAUUCUGAAGAAUACUUUCUACGUAAACAAGAAAAAUAUGUACUCAAAUAUGAUUCAAAUGAUCAAUACUCCAUUGAAAUAUCGACACGAUCAUCAUCAGAUUCGAAGCAUCAAAAUAUACAGAAAAGAAGUAACUUUGGUAAGUUCUUUUAUAAAUAACAAAUUAAAUACAAUUUUAGUUAGUGUGAACAAAUACUUAGACUGUCUCAAAAUAUUUGUUUAAUCUA